rnacentral:rRNA from 1 species
AUUGAACGCUGGCGGCAGGCCUAACACAUGCAAGUCGAGCGAGCGGCGGACGGGUGAGCAAUGUAUGGGGACUGCCCGAUAGAGGGGGAUAACUACUGGAAACGGUGGCUAAUACCGCAUACUAUCGGAUAACCCAUAUGGGAUUAGCUAGUAGGGGGGGUAAAGGCUCACCUAGGCGACUAUCUCUAGCUGGUCUGAGAGGAUGAACAGCCACACUGGGACUGAGACACGGCCCAGACUCCUACGGAGGCAGCAGUGGGGAAUAUGGCACAAUGGGCGCAAGCCUGAUGCAGCCAUGCCGCGUGUAUGAAGAAGGCCUUAGGGUUGUAAAGUACUUUCGGUAGCGAGGCGUUACCUACAGAAGAAGCACCGGCUAACUCCGUGCCAGCAGCCGCGGUAAUUC